ACUAUAUUUAAUAUAAUAGAUGAGAAUUGAAUAUAAGAAUGAAUAGGGCUAGGGAAGCAGGGUGAAAAUCCCUCACGGUCCCGCCGCUGUAAAGGAAGAGUCUUUUCUAAAUGUCACUGGGAAACUGGGAAGACAGAAAAGAUGAUGAAUCUUAAGUCAGAAAACCUACCUAUUUAUUAGCAGAAAUA
rnacentral:ncRNA from 18 species